UGGGGAAUAUUGGACAAUGGGGGAAACCCUGAUCCAGCGACGCCGCGUGAGUGAAGAAGUAUUUCGGUAUGUAAAGCUCUAUCAGCAGGGAAGAAAAUGACGGUACCUGACUAAGAAGCCCCGGCUAACUACGUGCCAGCAGCCGCGGUAAUACGUAGGGGGCAAGCGUUAUCCGGAUUUACUGGGUGUAAAGGGAGCGUAGACGGUGCAGCAAGUCUGAAGUGAAAUCCCAGGGCUCAACCCUGGAACUGCUUUGGAAACUGUUGAACUAGAGUGCAGGAGAGGUAAGUGGAAUUCCUAGUGUAGCGGUGAAAUGCGUAGAUAUUAGGAGGAACACCAGUGGCGAAGGCGGCUUACUGGACUGUAACUGACGUUGAGGCUCGAAAGCGUGGGGAGCAAACAGG
rnacentral:rRNA from 2 species